GAUGAACGCUGGCGGCGUGCCUAAUACAUGCAAGUCGAGCGAACAGACGAGGAGCUUGCUCCUCUGACGUUAGCGGCGGACGGGUGAGUAACACGUGGAUAACCUACCUAUAAGACUGGGAUAACUUCGGGAAACCGGAGCUAAUACCGGAUAAUAUAUUGAACCGCAUGGUUCAAUAGUGAAAGACGGUUUUGCUGUCACUUAUAGAUGGAUCCGCGCCGCAUUAGCUAGUUGGUAAGGUAACGGCUUACCAAGGCGACGAUGCGUAGCCGACCUGAGAGGGUAAUCAGCCACACUGGAACUGAGACACGGUCCAGACUCCUACGGGAGGCAGCAGUAGGGAAUCUUCCGCAAUGGGCGAAAGCCUGACGGAGCAACGCCGCGUGAGUGAUGAAGGUCUUCGGAUCGUAAAACUCUGUUAUUAGGGAAGAACAAAUGUGUAAGUAACUAUGCACGUCUUGACGGUACCUAAUCAGAAAGCCACGGCUAACUACGUG
rnacentral:rRNA from 1 species